AUCGCUUCUUGGCCUUUUGGCUAAGAUCAAGUAUAGUAUCUGUUCUUAUCAGUUUAAUAUCUGAUACAUCCUCUAUCCAAGGACAAUAUAUUAAAUGGGUUUUUGGAAUUAGGAGGUGGAAUAGGAGCUUGCUCCAUCCACUCUACGCAUCAACCUGGUAUUGCAGUACUUCUAGGAACAGUGCACACCUU
ensembl:snRNA U2 U2 spliceosomal RNA